UACGGAGGGUGCGAGCGUUGUCCGGAAUCACUGGGCGUAAAGGGCGCGUAGGCGGCCUGAUAAGUAGGGGGUGAAAUCCUGCGGCUUAACCGCAGGGCUGCCUUCUAAACUGUCAGGCUGGAGCACAGUAGAGGCAGGUGGAAUUCCCGGUGUAGCGGUGGAAUGCGUAGAGAUCGGGAAGAACAUCAGUGGCGAAGGCGGCCUGCUGGGCUGUUGCUGACGCUGAGGCGCGGAAAGCGUGGGGAGCAAACAGG
rnacentral:rRNA from 1 species